rnacentral:rRNA from 1 species
AGUAAAAGUCGUAACAAGGUCUCCGUAGGUGAACCUGCGGAGGGAUCAUUACAAGAACGCCCGGGCUUCGGCCUGGUUAUUCAUAACCCUUUGUUGUCCGACUCUGUUGCCUCCGGGGCGACCCUGCCUUCGGGCGGGGGCUCCGGGUGGACACUUCAAACUCUUGCGUAACUUUGCAGUCUGAGUAAACUUAAUUAAUAAAUUAAAACUUUUAACAACGGAUCUCUUGGUUCUGGCAUCGAUGAAGAACGCAGCGAAAUGCGAUAAGUAAUGUGAAUUGCAGAAUUCAGUGAAUCAUCGAAUCUUUGAACGCACAUUGCGCCCCCUGGUAUUCCGGGGGGCAUGCCUGUUCGAGCGUCAUUUCACCACUCAAGCCUCGCUUGGUAUUGGGCAACGCGGUCCGCCGCGUGCCUCAAAUCGUCCGGCUGGGUCUUCUGUCCCCUAAGCGUUGUGGAAACUAUUCGCUAAAGGGUGUUCGGGAGGCUACGCCGUAAAACAACCCCAUUUCUAAGGUUGACCUCGGAUCAGGUAGGGAUACCCGCUGAACUUAAGCAUAUCAAUAAGCGGAGGAAAAGAAACCAACAGGGAUUGCCCCAGUAACG